rnacentral:rRNA from 1 species
AAAUUGAAGAGUUUGAUCAUGGCUCAGAUUGAACGCUGGCGGCAGGCCUAACACAUGCAAGUCGAACGGUAACAGGAAGCAGCUUGCUGCUUUGCUGACGAGUGGCGGACGGGUGAGUAAUGUCUGGGAAACUGCCUGAUGGAGGGGGAUAACUACUGGAAACGGUGGCUAAUACCGCAUAACGUCGCAAGACCAAAGAGGGGGACCUUCGGGCCUCUUGCCAUCAGAUGUGCCCAGAUGGGAUUAGCUUGUUGGUGAGGUAACGGCUCACCAAGGCGACGAUCCCUAGCUGGUCUGAGAGGAUGACCAGCCACACUGGAACUGAGACACGGUCCAGACUCCUACGGGAGGCAGCAGUGGGGAAUAUUGCACAAUGGGCGCAAGCCUGAUGCAGCCAUGCCGCGUGUAUGAAGAAGGCCUUCGGGUUGUAAAGUACUUUCAGCGGGGAGGAAGGUGUUGUGGUUAAUAACCACAGCAAUUGACGUUACCCGCAGAAGAAGCACCGGCUAACUCCGUGCCAGCAGCCGCGGUAAUACGGAGGGUGCAAGCGUUAAUCGGAAUUACUGGGCGUAAAGCGCACGCAGGCGGUCUGUCAAGUCGGAUGUGAAAUCCCCGGGCUCAACCUGGGAACUGCAUUCGAAACUGGCAGGCUUGAGUCUUGUAGAGGGGGUAGAAUUCCAGGUGUAGCGGUGAAAUGCGUAGAGAUCUGGAGGAAUACCGGUGGCGAAGGCGGCCCCCUGGACAAAGACUGACGCUCAGGUGCGAAAGCGUGGGGAGCAAACAGGAUUAGAUACCCUGGUAGUCCACGCCGUAAACGAUGUCUACUUGGAGGUUGUGCCCUUGAGGCGUGGCUUCCGGAGCUAACGCGUUAAGUAGACCGCCUGGGGAGUACGGCCGCAAGGUUAAAACUCAAAUGAAUUGACGGGGGCCCGCACAAGCGGUGGAGCAUGUGGUUUAAUUCGAUGCAACGCGAAGAACCUUACCUGGUCUUGACAUCCACGGAAGUUUUCAGAGAUGAGAAUGUGCCUUCGGGAACCGUGAGACAGGUGCUGCAUGGCUGUCGUCAGCUCGUGUUGUGAAAUGUUGGGUUAAGUCCCGCAACGAGCGCAACCCUUAUCCUUUGUUGCCAGCGAUUCGGUCGGGAACUCAAAGGAGACUGCCAGUGAUAAACUGGAGGAAGGUGGGGAUGACGUCAAGUCAUCAUGGCCCUUACGACCAGGGCUACACACGUGCUACAAUGGCGCAUACAAAGAGAAGCGACCUCGCGAGAGCAAGCGGACCUCAUAAAGUGCGUCGUAGUCCGGAUUGGAGUCUGCAACUCGACUCCAUGAAGUCGGAAUCGCUAGUAAUCGUGGAUCAGAAUGCCACGGUGAAUACGUUCCCGGGCCUUGUACACACCGCCCGUCACACCAUGGGAGUGGGUUGCAAAAGAAGUAGGUAGCUUAACCUUCGGGAGGGCGCUUACCACUUUGUGAUUCAUGACUGGGGUGAAGUCGUAACAAGGUAACCGUAGGGGAACCUGCGGUUGGAUCACCUCCUUA